CCUACGUGCGGCAGCAGUGAGGAAUAUUGGUCAAUGGCCGGAAGGCUGAACCAGCCAUGCCGCGUGAAGGUCAGUGCCCUAUGGGCGUUAAACUUCUUUUGUGCGGGAGCAAUAAUGGUCACGUGUGGCCAGACGAGAGUACCGUCAGAAUAAGCAUCGGCUAACUCCGUGCCAGCAGCCGCGGUAAUACGGUGGAUGCAAGCGUUAUCCGGAUUUAUUGGGUUGAAAGGGGGCGUAGGCUGUGAGGUAAGUCAGCGGUGAAAUGCCCCCGCUCAACGGGGUGAAGUGCCAUUGAUACUGCCUUGCUGGAAUGCGGAUGCCGUGGGAGGAAUGUGUGGUGUAGCGGUGAAAUGCAUAGAUAUCACACAGAACACCGAUUGCGAAGGCAUCUCACGAAUCCGCGAUUGACGCUGAUGCACGAAAGCGUGGGUAUCAAACAGGAUUAGAUACCCCAGUAGUC
rnacentral:rRNA from 1 species